AGUGUAUUCUAUAUGUGUGCUGAUACAUGUAUACACAUAUAUUUGUGUGGAUAUGGAAAGCUGAGAAUUUGCAGAACAUGGGUACUUCCUGUGACCUUCACCUUCUUCAAGUCUGGCAGUUAUAUAUAAGGCAUGGACCAGGAGUGCAAAAUAUUUACUCACCCAGGAUGAGAUGAGUUAUAAAUUCUCAAUGAUGACAAAGAAGAAAAAAAUGAGUAAAAGGAAAAAGUACAAUGGGAUUUGUCUGUGCCUAGAGCUCUUAACUGGAGCAGAGGGGAUGAUUCCCAUCAGUUCUGUGAUAAUGGGGAGAAUAUUGUCUUCACUGUUAUGGGCUCUUUUUUUCCCACAGUAAGUAUGUGCUGGGGAAUGAACGUGGGCCCUCGCAGGUUCUAGGUUCUGCUUUAAAUCUACAUGCUCAGGCCUUGAUUUUUUUGAGACAACAUCUCAGUAGUAGCCUCGCCUGGCAUAGACCUACUUAGCCUGUCCUGACU